rnacentral:rRNA from 1 species
UAGGGAAUCUUCGGCAAUGGGGGGAACCCUGACCGAGCAACGCCGCGUGUGUGAAGAAGGUUUUCGGAUCGUAAAGCUCUGUUGUUAAGGAAGAACGAGUGUGAGACUGGAAAGUUCAUGCUGUGACGGUACUUAACCAGAAAGGGACGUCUAACUACGUGCCAGCAGCCGCGGUAAUACGUAGGUCCCGAGCGUUGUCCGGAUUUAUUGGGCGUAAAGCGAGCGCAGGCGGUUAGAAAAGUCUGAAGUGAAAGGCAGUGGCUCAACCAUUGUAGGCUUUGGAAACUGGUAAACUUGAGUGCAGAAGGGGAGAGUGGAAUUCCAUGUGUAGCGGUGAAAUGCGUAGAUAUAUGGAGGAACACCGGUGGCGAAAGCGGCUCUCUGGUCUGUAACUGACGCUGAGGCUCGAAAGCGUGGGGAGCGAACAGG